UACGAAGGGGGGCUAGCGUUGCUCGGAAUCACUGGGCGUAAAGGGUGCGUAGGCGGGUCUUUUAAGUCAGGGGUGAAAUCCUGGAGCUCAACUCCAGAACUGCCUUUGAUACUGAAGAUCUUGAGUUCGGGAGAGGUGAGUGGAACUGCGAGUGUAGAGGUGAAAUUCGUAGAUAUUCGCAAGAACACCAGUGGCGAAGGCGGCUCACUGGCCCGAUACUGACGCUGAGGCACGAAAGCGUGGGGAGCAAACGGG
rnacentral:rRNA from 1 species